AUGAUGGAUGACAGCAGAUGAAUUCUGCACUAGUUGGCGCACCUGAAAACGAAGACAGGUGAACUCAUUCGAAAGAGCCUCUCAGACCCAUAGACAGACCCAACCCUUUGAAACAGGAAAGGGCAGCCAACACAGGAAGCCCAGGAGCCAUUCAGAGUUUAUUUAGAUAAUUCUGAAAAUGAAUGUCAACUGAAUGUGGUGCUUUGCAAGUUCAACAUACAGUUGGUAAUGUAUGUUUAUCUUUGGAUGUGUUGCCCUCCAAGGUUGCUUUGUUGAUAGU